CACACACACACAGCUUUAUCAGCCAGAGCAGCAAAACUGAUUUCAGGUUGAAGUUUCUGUGGAGGAAGUGAAUGGAGGUGAAACACAACACAAACCCUGAGGAAGAUUUGGUACAACAGCAGGAGACCACAGAUGAAGAACAUUUAUAUUCCAGAUUACAGUAGUUUUUCUUCUUCCAGACCACAAUUCCAGCAACAACAGCAACAAGAACAACGAGAGACACAACCACACCAACAAUAAUACCAAUCUGUCCUCCAUCUGAUCCUCCAUCUGAUCCUCCAUCUGAUCCUCCACCUGAACCUCCAUCUGAUCCUCCAUCUGAUCCUCCAUCUGUUAAAUCAUCACAGAGUGUUUAUUA